rnacentral:rRNA from 1 species
UACGUAGGUGGCGAGCGUUGUCCGGAUUUACUGGGCGUAAAGCGCACGUAGGCGGAUUUGUAAGUCAGGGGUGAAAUCCCGGGGCUCAACCUCGGAACUGCCUUUGAUACUGCAAAUCUCGAGUCCGGAAGAGGUGAGUGGAAUUCCUAGUGUAGAGGUGAAAUUCGUAGAUAUUAGGAAGAACACCAGUGGCGAAGGCGGCUCACUGGUCCGGUACUGACGCUGAGGUGCGAAAGCGUGGGGAGCAAACAGG